rnacentral:rRNA from 1 species
CAGCCGCCGCGGGAAUACGAAGGGGGCUAGCGUUGUUCGGAUUUACUGGGCGUAAAGCGUGCGUAGGCGGCUUCUUAAGUCGGAUGUGAAAUCCCUGAGCUUAACUUAGGAAUUGCAUUCGAUACUGGGAAGCUAGAGUAUGGGAGAGGAUGGUAGAAUUCCAGGUGUAGCGGUGAAAUGCGUAGAGAUCUGGAGGAAUACCGAUGGCGAAGGCAGCCAUCUGGCCUAAUACUGACGCUGAGGUACGAAAGCAUGGGGAGCAAACAGGAUUAGAUACCCCUGUAGUCCCUGUCUCUUAUAC